ACCGUCCCAGUUCGGAUCGCAGGCUGCAACCCGCCUGCGUGAAGUCGGAAUCGCUAGUAAUCGCGGAUCAGCAUGCCGCGGUGAAUACGUUCCCGGGCCUUGUACACACCGCCCGUCACACCAUGAGAGUCGGGAACACCCGAAGUCCGUAGCCUAACCGAAAGGGGGCGCGGCCGAAGGUGGGUUCGAUAAUUGGGGUGAAGUCGUAACAAGGUAAC
rnacentral:rRNA from 1 species